rnacentral:tRNA from 1 species
UAGGCUGAASUCCGCUGGAUUGGGCGACUAGUUGUUAAUUGGAUUUUUACGGGAUCGAGGCCCGUCGGUCUAG